UGAGGAAUAUUGGUCAAUGGGCGAGAGCCUGAACCAGCCAAGUAGCGUGCAGGAUGACGGCCCUAUGGGUUGUAAACUGCUUUUAUGUGGGGAUAAAGUGCGUGACGUGUCAUGCAUUGCAGGUACCACAUGAAUAAGGACCGGCUAAUUACGUGCCAGCAGCCGCGGUAAUACGUAAGGUCCGAGCGUUGUCCGGAAUCAUUGGGCGUAAAGGGUACGUAGGCGGGUAAGCAAGUUAGAAGUGAAAUCCUAUAGCUCAACUAUAGUAAGCUUUUAAAACUGCUCAUCUUGAGGUAUGGAAGGGAAAGUGGAAUUCCUAGUGUAGCGGUGAAAUGCGCAGAUAUUAGGAGGAAUACCGGUGGCGAAGGCGACUUUCUGGCCAUAACCUGACGCUGAGGUACGAAAGCGUGGGUAGCAAACAGG
rnacentral:rRNA from 2 species